rnacentral:rRNA from 1 species
CUACAGAGGGUGCGAGCGUUAAUCGGAAUUACUGGGCGUAAAGCGCGCGUAGGCGGCUUAUUAAGUCAGAUGUGAAAUCCCCGGGCUCAACCUGGGAACUGCAUCUGAUACUGGUAAGCUAGAGUUUUGGAGAGGGAAGUAGAAUUUCAGGUGUAGCGGUGAAAUGCAUAGAGAUCUGAAGGAAUACCAGUGGCGAAGGCGACUUCCUGGCCAAAAACUGACGCUGAGGUGCGAAAGCGUGGGUAGCAAACCGGAUUAGAAACCCAGUAGUCC